rnacentral:rRNA from 1 species
AAGGCGGCGUNAGCUGUCGCUAUGGGAUGGNCCCGCGGUGCAUUAGCUAGUUGGUAAGGUAACGGCUUACCAAGGCGAUGAUGCAUAGCCGAGUUGAGAGACUGAUCGGCCACAUUGGGACUGAGACACGGCCCAAACUCCUACGGGAGGCAGCAGUAGGGAAUCUUCCACAAUGGACGCAAGUCUGAUGGAGCAACGCCGCGUGAGUGAAGAAGGUUUUCGGAUCGUNAAGCUCUGUUGUUGGUGAAGAAGGAUAGA